UUGAACGCUGGCGGCAUGCCUUACACAUGCAAGUCGAACGGUAACAGGUCUUCGGAUGCUGACGAGUGGCGAACGGGUGAGUAAUACAUCGGAACGUGCCCGAUCGUGGGGGAUAACGGAGCGAAAGCUUUGCUAAUACCGCAUACGAUCUACGGAUGAAAGCAGGGGACCGCAAGGCCUUGCGCGGACGGAGCGGCCGAUGGCAGAUUAGGUAGUUGGUGGGAUAAAAGCUUACCAAGCCGACGAUCUGUAGCUGGUCUGAGAGGACGACCAGCCACACUGGGACUGAGACACGGCCCAGACUCCUACGGGAGGCAGCAGUGGGGAAUUUUGGACAAUCGGCGCAAGCCUGAUCCAGCCAUGCCGCGUGCAGGAUGAAGGCCUUCGGGUUGUAAACUGCUUUUUGAAAGGAUGAGGAAGGACAGUACUUUCAGAAUAAGCUUCGGCUAACUACGU
rnacentral:rRNA from 1 species